rnacentral:rRNA from 1 species
CCGGCUAACUCCGUGCCAGCAGCCGCGGUAAUACGGAGGGUGCGAGCGUUAAUCGGAAUUACUGGGCGUAAAGCGCGCGUAGGCGGCUUGAUAAGCCGGUUGUGAAAGCCCCGGGCUCAACCUGGGAACGGCAUCCGGAACUGUCAGGCUAGAGUGCAGGAGAGGAAGGUAGAAUUCCCGGUGUAGCGGUGAAAUACGUAGAGAUCGGGAGGAAUACCAGUGGCGAAGGCGGCCUUCUGGACUGACACUGACGCUGAGGUGCGAAAGCGUGGGUAGCAAACAGGAUUAGAUACCCUGGUAGUCCACGCCGUAAACGAUGUCGACUAGCCGUUGGGCUCCUUGAGAGCUUUGUGGCGCAGUUAACGCGAUAAGUCGACCGCCUGGGGAGUACGGCCGCAAGGUUAAAACUCAAAUGAAUUGACGGGGGCCCGCACAAGCGGUGGAGCAUGUGGUUUAAUUCGAAGCAACGCGAAGAACCUUACCAGGUCUUGACAUCCUUUGACCACUCUAGAGAUAGAGCUUUCCCUUCGGGGACAAAGUGACAGGUGGUGCAUGGUUGUCGUCAGCUCGUGUCGUGAGAUGUUGGGUUAAGUCCCGCAACGAGCGCAACCCUUAUUAUUAGUUGCCAGCAUUCAGUUGGGCACUCUAGUGAGACUGCCGGUGAUAAACCGGAGGAAGGUGGGGAUGACGUCAAAUCAUCAUGCCCCUUAUGACCUGGGCUACACACGUGCUACAAUGGAUGGUACAACGAGUCGCAAAACCGCGAGGUUAAGCUAAUCUCUUAAAGCCAUUCUCAGUUCGGAUUGUAGGCUGCAAUUCGCCUACAUGAAGCCGGAAUCGCUAGUAAUCGCGGAUCAGAAUGCCGCGGUGAAUACGUUCCCGGGCCUUGCACACACCGCCCGUA